rnacentral:snoRNA from 1 species
AUCCCAUGAUGAGGACAGGCGGCAACGCAUUCCUUCAGCCAUUCCCAUGCUUCAGGAAUUGUCUCGUCUCUCGUCUAGUGGAAGUUGGAUAUUCUUCCACGAAGGGC